rnacentral:rRNA from 1 species
GGUAACACUAACUGGAGGACCGAACCGACUAAUGUUGAAAAAUUAGCGGAUGACCUGUGGCUGGGGGUGAAAGGCCAAUCAAACCGGGAGAUAGCUGGUUCUCCCCGAAAGCUAUUUAGGUAGCGCCUCGUGAAUUCAUCUCCGGGGGUAGAGCACUGUUUCGGCUAGGGGGCCAUCCCGGCUUACCAACCCGAUGCAAACUGCGAAUACCGGAGAAUGUUAUCACGGGAGACACACGGCGGGUGCUAACGUCCGUCGUGAAGAGGGAAACAACCCAGACCGCCAGCUAAGGUCCCAAAGUCAUGGUUAAGUGGGAAACGAUGUGGGAAGGCCCAGACAGCCAGGAUGUUGGCUUAGAAGCAGCCAUCAUUUAAAGAAAGCGUAAUAGCUCACUGGUCGAGUCGGCCUGCGCGGAAGAUGUAACGGGGCUAAACCAUGCACCGAAGCUGCGGCAGCGACACUGUGUGUUGUUGGGUA